AUGUGUAUACAAUGGAAUGUUAUUCAGCCAUAACGAAAAUGAAAUCUGUAUUUUAACAAGUUCCUCAGGUGAUUCUUAUGUGUGCUAACUGGGUACAACGGUGUCUGUCUUCCUUUUACCAUCACCUUUGUACAGUCACGCGCUGCAUAACGAUGUUUUGGUCAAUGAUGGACCGCAUAUGGGAUGGUGGUCCCAUAAGAUUAGUACCGUGUAGCCUAGGUGUGGAGUGGGCUGUAUCCACUAGGGAUGU